GUCUGACCAGUUUCAUGAUUUCGAGCAUAUAGUUGAGCAGCUUAGAUCUAGUAGUGUAAAUCUUGAUGAGAGUUUCUUAGUUGCCGCCCUUAUAAAUAAGUUGCCACCCUCUUGGUCGAACCAUGCAAACGAUCUUAACCACAAUCAGAGAGAGCUAUUCCUGAAUUAUGUCCUAAGAUCUAUUAGGAUAGAAGAGUCAAACCAAGUUAGGGAUGAAAAGCCCAGUGAACCUACAAGCCAAACCAAUCUAUUAGAGAAUCCUAAAAAUAAAGGUAGAAAUUUUAAGUCUUACCAGCUUUAAGAAAAAGCCUUUUUACCGUAGGAAGUUCAAUCCAAACUUUAAGAAACCUAAACCUGAGGGAAGUGGAGACAACUCUGGUUGCUUUGUGUGUGCGAAGACAAACCAUUUUGCGAGAGAUUGCUACUUCCAUAAGACUCGACCUUUCAUAUCGAGGAAGAAAAAGGAAGUUCCACCUGAGCACCAGAUGAAUAUGCUGACUGCUGGGUCUGACCCUUCUGACUUCACUAUCAGGACUCAUGUGGAGGAUCGAUGAACAUGGGGAAUGCUCUCUUUUCACGUGCUAAGGACAGGUCGAGUGUACUUGAAGCUGACCUCCGAGAAGACUCUAACCUUACACAGAGUCCACCAUGUUCCCGACCUUAGAAAGAAUUUAAUUAGUGGUUCUCUUUUAGUUCAGCAUGAUUUUAAGUUAGUUUUUGAAUGUAAUAAGGUAGUUAUAACAAAGGGAGUGAAUAUUGUAGGAAAGAAAUUUUUGAGUGAUGGUUUAUUUAAAUUAUCUGUAUCUUCUCCUUCUAUUAAUGAAAGUGCUCUUGUUAUGAA